rnacentral:rRNA from 1 species
UACGGGGGGGCAAGCGUUGUUCGGAAUUACUGGGCGUAAAGGGCUCGUAGGCGGCCAACUAAGUCAGACGUGAAAUCCCUCGGCUUAACCGGGGAACUGCGUCUGAUACCGGAUGGCUUGAGUGUGGGAGAGGAAUGCGGAAUUCCAGGUGUAGCGGUGAAAUGCGUAGAUAUCUGGAGGAACACCGGUGGCGAAGGCGGCUACCUGGACCGGUUCUGACGCUGAGG